rfam:Arenimonas oryziterrae DSM 21050 = YC6267 contig15, whole genome shotgun sequence.
GCCCGGGUGGCGAAACUGGUAGACGCAUGGGACUUAAAAUCCCCCGGCCGCAAGGCCAUGUGGGUUCGAUCCCCACCCCGGGCA